rnacentral:rRNA from 1 species
AGGCUUUGAUCCUGGCUCAGAACGAACGCUGGCGGCAUGCCUAACACAUGCAAGUCGAACGAGACCUUCGGGCCUAGUGGCGCACGGGUGCGUAACGCGUGGGAACCUGCCCUUAGGUUCGGAAUAACUCAGAGAAAUUUGAGCUAAUACCGGAUAAUGUCUUCGGACCAAAGAUUUAUCGCCUUUGGAUGGGCCCGCGUUGGAUUAGCUAGUUGGUGGGGUAAUGGCCUACCAAGGCGACGAUCCAUAGCUGGUCUGAGAGGAUGAUCAGCCACACUGGGACUGAGACACGGCCCAGACUCCUACGGGAGGCAGCAGUGGGGAAUAUUGGACAAUGGGCGAAAGCCUGAUCCAGCAAUGCCGCGUGAGUGAUGAAGGCCUUAGGGUUGUAAAGCUCUUUUACCCGGGAUGAUAAUGACAGUACCGUGGAGAAUAAGCCCCGGCGUACAUCCG